CAAACAACUGAACCACCCAGGCGUCCCUGGGAGCCCUAUUUCUUAAAUGAGAACUUCUGUUGUUGUAUAUUUAAGCCAAUAUUUUUUCUUAAAAGACGCUUGGGAAACUGGGUGGAAAGACUUGUCAUUGUGCAAAUUAAAUGUGACAAAAUACCUCAUUGGGAAACCUGUAAUGAAUACUUUCUUUUAAAACAGGUUAAAGGAAGAUGGCAGUGGAAGUGCUUAUGACAAAGAAUCUAUGGCAAUUAUCAAGCUGAAUAAUACGACUGUCCUUUAUUUAAAGGAAGUGACUAAAUUUUUGGCACUGGUCUGCAUUCUUAGGGAAGAAAGUUUUGAACGAAAAGGGUUAAUAGACUACAACUUCCACUGUUUCCGGAAGGCUGUUCACGAAGUUUUUGAGGUGGGUGUGGCUUCUCACAGGAGCUGCGGUCACCAGACCAGUGCCCCCAGCCUAAAAGCGCUGACACACAACGGCACGCCACGAAAUGCCAUCUAGCCUGAAUUCCAGCUGUUGGGCUCUGUGCCAGCUUACUCUUCACUCCAGGGUCAGAUGCCACGUGCUACAGGACAGGGGAGCUGCCGCUUGUGGGAAUCCUGGUGCCUGUGCGACUAGAGACAAGGGGUAGAGUUCCUCAUUUGGAUGAAAACCCCUUCAACCAGUGGUGUGCAACUGAAGCUACUAUUUUUUUUUUUUUUUUAAUGGCAAAAAAGAAUUCUUGAGACUACAGAACUCAGUGUGUCUUUCUCCUCUUUGGGGUCCUCUUUUAAGUAGUUGGGAUAUUUUGGACCUGGAGAUAACACCAUUUACCCAUCCUUACCAGAGAAUGUUGCUGUCAAUUACCAGUUGGAAAUUAUAGAAAGAACUGAAUUUUUAUAUGCUUCACUUAGGUUUUCAUUUGAGUAGUCUCUAAGAAUCCUGCCUUGCUUAAGUUCUAACACUGCCUCUCAGAUUUCAGUUUUGGACUUUGCACACCUAAGACGUUUUAAAUGCAUUUGCUUGCUAACUCAGAAGACACAUGGUCUGACCGCAGCAAAGGACAUUCCUGUGUUUGUUACUGAAAAAACGAGAAAGUUUUAUGCUGCAUCAGGUCGAGAGCAAGGCUCAACAGUGGCCGCUGCAUUAAUUCUCUUGAAGUGUUGAAGAAACUUCAAAACAGAAGAAAAAGUUUGCACCUGUGUUUUGGGUACCAGAUAUCUGGGUUCUUUCUCCUCCAUUAGAUAAGUGAUCAUGAUCAGUGUAACGAUGGGAAUUUUAAAAAUUUGUUUUCCCCACAAUCUCCUCCUUCCAGGGGAGAAAUUCAUUAUGUCAUUGAAAUACUUAGCUCACUUUUUUUUUAGACUUGGUACCAGCCGCUACGUACCUUUUACUCUAAGCGAUCUAGAUUUCUUUAUGAAUUGCUGUUUUGUUGGCCACGAACGACCCUAAGGGACUGGUGGGCUGUCCACUGGGAGUUGGAGAGAGCACAUGGCGCCACAACAUGUGUGAUUAAACAGACUUUGUCUCCAGUAUUCUGACACCAAGUGUCAACUGUGGUACUUUCUUCACCUAGGAUAUUAAUUCAUAAUUGUUUCUUUUUUUUUGUUGAUGGUUGAUACCCUGUCCAUUGAUUUAAAGUGACACAUUGUUUUUACUCGACAUGCCCAGUAGUCCUGUAUUCCAAAGCCACUGGACCACUUGAGUACAUAAGUGCCACUGUUCAAUGAAAUAUGUAUAUUCAGGUCUGUAAACCUAACAGUGUGACUUGGAGUGCUUCCUGCAGAUGAUUCUGACUGUUGAGUAUUUACAUGGACCAUGGUGAUAUCCAAAAGAAAAUGCUUUUAUAUUUAUAGAUUAUUUCACUGAACUAUAUAAAAUGGGUAUCAAUAAAUGUAUUUACUCCAAAA